GACAGAGGGUGCAAACGUUGUUCGGAAUUAUUGGGCGUAAAGAGCUCGUAGGCGGUGUGUCGCGUCGGCCGUGAAAACCUGCAGCUUAACUGUGGGCUUGCGGUCGAUACGGGCAUCACUGGAGUUCGGCAGGGGAGACUGGAAUUCCUGGUGUAGCGGUGAAAUGCGCAGAUAUCAGGAGGAACACCGGUGGCGAAGGCGGGUCUCUGGGCCGAUACUGACGCUGAGGAGCGAAAGCGUGGGGAGCGAACAGG
rnacentral:rRNA from 1 species